rnacentral:rRNA from 1 species
GACGAACGCUGGCGGCGUGCCUAAUACAUGCAAGUCGAACGCAGUGGGGACGGGUGAGUAACACGUGGGUAACCUCCCAUCAGAGGGGAUAACACUUGGAAACAGGUGCUAAACCGAUACUGAUGGAUGGACCCGCGGUGCAUUAGCUAUUUGGUGAGGUAACGGCUCACCAAGGCCACGAUGCAUAGACGACCUGAUGGGGUGAUCGGCCACGCUGGAACUGAGACACGGCCCAGACUCCUACGGUGUGCAGCAGAAGGGAAUCUUCGGGAAUGGACGAAAGUCUGACCGAGCAACGCAGCGUGAGUGAAGAGGGUUUUCGGAUCGUAAAACUCUGUUGUUAUAGAAGCGGUAUCUAACCAGAAAGCCACGGCGAAUUACGUGCCAGCAGCCGCGGUAAUUC